GGUAGCUCAGUUGGUUAGAGCAACAGACUCAUAAUCUGGAGGUCCCUGGUUCAAGCCCAGGCUGGUCCA
rnacentral:tRNA from 2 species